UACGUAGGGGGCGAGCGUUGUCCGGAUUUAUUGGGCGUAAAGAGCCCGUAGGCGGCUUGGCAAGUCGGGUGUGAAACCUCCAGCUCAACCUGGAGACGCCACUCGAUACUGCCAUGGCUAGAGUCCGGUAGGGGACCACGGAAUUCCUGGUGUAGCGGUGAAAUGCGUAGAUAUCAGGAGGAACACCUGUGGCGAAAGCGGCUCACUGGACCAUAACUGACGCUGAUGCACGAAAGCUAGGGGAGCAAACAGG
rnacentral:rRNA from 1 species